AGCCCCGUCGUAUAGCGGCCCAGUACAGUGGGCUUUGGACCCACGAACGGCGGUUCGACUCCGCCCGGGGCUA
rnacentral:tRNA from 1 species